rnacentral:rRNA from 1 species
UACGUAGGGGGCAAGCGUUAUCCGGAUUUACUGGGUGUAAAGGGAGCGUAGACGGCAGCGCAAGUCUGGAGUGAAAUCCCAUGGCUUAACCAUGGAACUGCUUUGGAAACUGUGCAGCUAGAGUGCAGGAGAGGUAAGCGGAAUUCCUAGUGUAGCGGUGAAAUGCGUAGAUAUUAGGAGGAAUACCAGUGGCGAAGGCGGCUUACUGGACUGUAACUGACGUUGAGGCUCGAAAGCGUGGGGAGCAAACAGG